GACGAACGCUGGCGGCGUGCCUAAUACAUGCAAGUCGAGCGAAUCAGUGGGAGCUUGCUCCCUGAGAUUAGCGGCGGACGGGUGAGUAACACGUGGGUAACCUGCCUGUAAGACUGGGAUAACUUCGGGAAACCGGAGCUAAUACCGGAUACGUUCUUUUCUCGCAUGAGGAGCGAUGGAUAGAUGGUUCUGCUAUCACUUACAGAUGGACCCGCGGCGCAUUAGCUAGUUGGUGAGGUAACGGCUCACCAAGGCAACGAUGCGUAGCCGACCUGAGAGGGUGAUCGGCCACACUGGGACUGAGACACGGCCCAGACUCCUACGGGAGGCAGCAGUAGGGAAUCUCCCGCAAUGGACGAAAGUCUGACGGAGCAACGCCGCGUGAGCGAAGAAGGCCUUCGGGUCGUAAAGCUCUGUUGUUAGGGAAGAACAAGUACGAGAGUAACUGCUCGUACCUUGACGGUACCUAACCAGAAAGCCACGGCUAACUACGUGCCAGCCGCCGCGGUAA
rnacentral:rRNA from 1 species